UACGUAGGGUGCGAGCGUUGUCCGGAAUUAUUGGGCGUAAAGAGCUUGUAGGCGGCCUGUUGCGUCUGCUGUGAAAAUCCGGGGCUCAACCCCGGAAUUGCAGUGGGUACGGGCAGACUAGAGUGUGGUAGGGGAGACUGGAAUUCCUGGUGUAGCGGUGAAAUGCGCAGAUAUCAGGAGGAACACCGAUGGCGAAGGCAGGUCUCUGGGCCGCGACUGACGCUGAGAAGCGAAAGCAUGGGGAGCGAACAGG
rnacentral:rRNA from 1 species